CUCUGCAGGGUGCGCCCCCCUCGGCCCCAAGCACCCACCUGGCCCCAUACUCCAUUAUGUCCACAUUAUUGGCUAUCAGAAGAACGCAUUAUUAGAGGCCUUGAAUUGGCAGGCAAAAAAAUUAUUCAAGGAGAUUAAUAUUUGAAGAAUAUUUUGCCAAAUUUGAUGUUUAAAAACUCAACCAACCAACAAGAGUAUAUCGAUUGCCUAGUAUUCUCCUUAGCAAGAACCCUAACUUUGCAGCUGAACAAAAAAAGGCACUUCUUCCAUGGAAACCCAGCUUUAAGAGGACAGAACUGCCCUUGAAAUGCUGAAAUGGGGAAAACAGCUUGAGAAUGUUGUGAGGCAAGACAGACUGACGCGAAAGAUAUUUUCAUUUCCACUUGCUUGGUGCCAACUCAGGGCAAAGUUAGGCGAACUGCGCAUGGUGUGCUGUAAAGUAAUACUGAAUGGAACAGAUGUACCUGGAAAGCAAAUCUCAUUGAAAAGCCUGUGCUCUUGCCAGCAGAGAACAUAGAUUGGAUGAGUACAAAGAACAGAGCUAUAUGGAGUCUCUCACAGGAGUCUGCUUAUUUCCCUGAACAGUAAGUUAUAAUAUCUAUUUACUUAUUUGUUAUUUAGGUAAUGCCACUCUGGAUAAGCAGAUUGGUGGGUUUCCAGGACUUUCCCACUUGCUAAAGUGUGUUAAAUAAAGCCAUGCUGAUUACCUAUAUUGACAUUUCAGUAGCCUAAGUAACUAAGAAAAACAACUCUAAAAAUUUGAUUUGUUUUUAUAUAUAUGAAUCAAAUCUUGACUUGAUUUUUAAUUUAAAUAUUGUAGUACUCAGGUUAGCUAUCUGUUGGAUUCAAUGUCAGGCACAUCCUUAAUUUACUAAAUCAGUGUUCAAGUCUGUAAUUGAAGUAAUCUCUUUGAUAAUGUAUCCUUAAGGCAAGGGAAUACUUUGAUUUAAUUAAAAAGGAGAGUGGCACUUGAUGAGUAUGUCUUUUCAGAGAAUGUCUCCUUGCAGAUGUACUGAAUCAAACAAUAAUCCAUUCAGUGAAAACUUACAGGUAGAGCCCUGGCUGGUGUGGCUCACUUGUUUGAGUGUCCUCCCAUGCACCUAGAGGUCGCCAAUUCAUCC